UCAACUCGACCUUGCUUGAUCAACAGCUGGAGUGGAGAUUUCUUCAGAGUCACAGUCAAUGCCUGCAAUCACAGAUUAUGGUCCUUCAGAGGAGACAGAUCAUGAGCAAGACAAAUGCAUAGAUCAUUUCAGAUGGAAGAAAAUGCAACACCGGAUGACAAAACAGGCCUUCACUAUGAAGCCAAAACUUGUCUGGAACUCGAGAAUCUUCUACCGCAGCACCUUCCUGCAGAUAGUAGGAUUCUAGAUCCAUGAUGAUAAAUCACUGGGUGAAAAGUGAAGCAUUAGGCCAGCCAUGCAGGUGCUUUGACUAGCUGUUCCAGGCACCCCAACAAAUAUUUAUGGAGUGCCUUUUCCAAACAAGGCUGAGAGAGCAACAAGCAC